AAUCGCAUGGGUUAACGUUCGGACCCAUAAACAAACAAACAAACAAAAGAGAAUAGAUCAAACAAGCGGAUGGAUUCUUUUACAGAUAUGAAAAGUUUGAGGGGUACAUUCGCAAAUUUUCCAAGAAAAUAAAAUAAUCUAAAAUCAAAUAAAUCGAAAGAAAAACAUAGAAAGAGAAACGUAAGUUGUCCGGUAGAGGUUUCCAUUUCUGAUUCCCAUUCCAAUUUAGCUUUCACCAGCGAUCAUCCAUCGCUUUAACCCGAACCCGACGCAGAAAACUAGGGUCCGAUGGCGAGCCUGUGGCGGGCCGUGACGGGCCAGUCCGAGAAUCCCGACAACUACGAUGGCGUGGAGUACUGGUCCAACCCGGAGCGAACCGGGUGGCUGACGAAGCAAGGCGAGUACAUCAAGACAUGGCGCCGUCGCUGGUUCGUGCUCAAGCAAGGCAAGCUCUUCUGGUUCAAGGAGUCCACGGUCACCCGCGGCUCUAUUCCACGUGGCGUCAUCCCGGUGGCUAAUUGCCUCACCGUCAAGGGCGCCGAGGACGUCCUCAACAAACAGUACGCCUUCGAGCUCUCCACCCGCUCCGAGACCAUGUACUUUAUUGCCGACUCCGAGAAGGAGAAAGAGGAUUGGAUCAACUCCAUCGGACGGUCCAUUGUGCAGCACUCUAGGUCAGUUACCGACUCGGAGAUCGUCGAUUACGAUAGCAAGCGGCAUAAACAGAGUAGCUGAUUUUAACUUGAAAUGGGAAUGGAGGAGCGGUGAUACUCUAGCAGUCAGGGACUAUAGUAAUUGGAACUAAUAGCAAGGUGCUAUCUGUUGCGGUAUUUGUUCUUAUGCAAGGCCUAAUAGCACAUGUUGAAGGUAAAGGAAUGAGCUUUUCUUACUUUAAGGAUGAGGGCUUGUGCAUCGAGCAAUGUGGCAUUUCUGAAUAUGUCCGGUGUCAGUCCUUGAUGGUUGUUCCUGUUUUCUUCAUCGUGAAAUGCCUCUUUCCUAGGUUUUGAACCUUAUUGGUAACGGAUUGGCAGUAGGAGGAGAAUGGGAUCCAUAAUAUGUUAAUUUUCCAUCUAUUAUAAGAUUGAGAUGCCAUGGGGUGGAUAUAUGGUAACCACAUCAUAGAUGAUUUUUGAAUGAAGAUAUUCGCCAUACAUUCGUUUCCCUGAUAUCUUUUACCAUCCAAAAAUAGUGGUCCUAUAAAAGCUUUUAAGAUUGUAGCAGUUAUCAGCAAAAGCAUGAAGGCUCAUUACAAUGGGAUACUUGUACAGCAUAACUCAGUCCAUGGCUGGUGAUAUCAUACAUAUGGCUUUGCGUUGCAUUACCAAUUUACCAGCAUAGGACUAAACUAGCAUGAGAGCAUAUACACUUUCUUAACAGGGGAUUUCUGAAGGAGAUCGUCAGCAAUCUGAUCUCAUCAAGGGUUUCAUACUUCUGUUGUUCGAGUAAUUCAUUGAGAUAUAGAGUUAGUUUUGUUUGCCAGUUUUGGGACUCAAAGGCCAAGGGAAUACCAUGAUCCCAGAAACAGGAACAACUUCUGCCUUGAAAACAUUCACAAAAUAGUAUCUGCAUUUGCCUUGAUCUCUCUCUACGGAUGCCAACACCAGGAAAAACGUUCUUCUCUUUGUCAAAUGUAGAGUUCAUUGGUGCUAACCCUCUUUUUCACUCUUUCUGCCGGUGUUUCGGUUGAACAAGCAAGCCCUAUCUAAAGGACGGAAAGUAUGCACUUUUCCAUACCAGAAUUUAUAUGGCCCGUUUCUUUA